GGGCCCGCACAAGCGGUGGAGCAUGUGGUUUAAUUCGAUGCAACGCGAAGAACCUUACCAGGGCUUAAAUGUAGUGGGACAGGUCUAGAGAUAGACCCUUCUUCGGACUCAUUACAAGGUGCUGCAUGGUUGUCGUCAGCUCGUGCCGUGAGGUGUCAGGUUAAGUCCUAUAACGAGCGCAACCCUCGUCCUAUGUUGCCAGCACAUUAUGGUGGGAACUCUAGAGGAACUGCCUUCGUAAGGAGGAGGAAGGUGGGGAUGACGUCAAAUCAUCAUGGCCCUUACGUCCAGGGCUACACACGUACUACAAUGGUCGGUACAAAGGGUUGCAACAUAGCGAUAUGAAGCCAAUCCCUAAAAGCCGAUCUCAGUUCGGAUCGGAGUCUGCAACUCGACUCCGUGAAGCUGGAAUC
rnacentral:rRNA from 1 species